UUUGUUUUUCAUUACAGCCGUGCCUGCUCUAACCGUCACGGUUUGAUCCGUAAAUAUGGCUUGAACAUCUGCCGUCAAUGCUUCAGAGAAUACGCCAACGACAUUGGCUUCAAGAAGUUGGAUUAAAUCCGCUUUUUUGAUGACCACAUCUAUGAAGAGAAACGCCACACCCCAACCAUUAGAAAGUCUUAUGGACUUUUGUUGCACACACAGUGCAAAUGGAAUGCGUCACCAUUUU